rnacentral:rRNA from 1 species
GUAGGUGGCAAGCGUUGUCCGGAAUUAUUGGGCGUAAAGCGCGCGCAGGCGGUUCUUUAAGUCCGAUGUGAAAGCCCACGGGCUCAACCGUGGAGGGUCAUUGGAUACUGGAGAACUUGAGUACAGAAGAGGAAAGCGGAAUUCCACGUGUAGCGGUGAAAUGCGUAGAGAUGUGGAGGAACACCAGUGGCGAAGGCGGCUUUCUGGUCUGUAACUGACGCUGAGGCGCGAAAGCGUGGGGAGCAAACAGGAUUAGAUACCCUGGUAGUCCACGCCGUAAACGAUGAGUGCUAAGUGUUAGGGGGUUUCCGCCCCUUAGUGCUGCAGCUAACGCAUUAAGCACUCCGCCUGGGGAGUACGGCCGCAAGGCUG